ACAUAAGUGAGUGUGGGUGGAUGUUAGUUGGACCUGGCUAGCUUGUGCUAGUAGAUCUGAUGUCGUGCUCCUUCCUCAAGUGGAUGUGACCUGGACCUGACUAGGUUGGGUCAAUCGCAUAAGCCAGUAGGCAACUUGGACCUGCCUCGUGCUGCAGUGUUCCUUAUGUUCUUAAUAAACUUACUUACCAAAUAGGCAGGAAGGACAGCCCUGGACAGAAGGCUCAUACAGUCCUCGAGUCGUGUAAACUUUUCAACCCAACAACAUGAUCAGACGUCCUCGAGGAAGUCAACAAGAACCAGGAGGAUCUUUUAUCUCAACAUUCAAGUUAGCUGAGCUAGAAAACUUCUAGGGAAUCCCCUUUUGGAAGUGAAUAUUGUUGAUAAAAAUUACAGGCUUAUUAUUACGUUCAUGAGGAGUUCUAAAUCUGUAGGGGUCAUAUAGUGCCUGGGGGAAUGGGAGACAUUCCCUUUCAGUGCAAGGGAAGCCGAAGUCAAAUUCCUUGGAUCAAGAGCAUCAAGGAACCUCCCUUGAAAGGUUAACUGGGACUCAGAUUGCAGUUGCUACCUUUGUAGGAGUUAUUGGAGGAAUUUAUAUCUGGAAACCACUGCUCAUAAGACUGAGGGAGGAAAAGAAUCAAUCUCUGGACUUGGAAUCUUCUCCACAAACUACACGUGCUGGUGUUGCCAUUAUUGAACAAUCAAAGUAAAAGUAGUGUAACAGUGUCACUAUAUACACUCUGUUCACAUGAACUUUACAAAUUAUCUACAAGCAUACUUAGUCCAAAGAUGGCACUUCAGUUCCCACUCCUCAGUGCUGGUUUAGCCCUUUCUGUUAUUAUUUGUAUUGGGUACAAGUGGGGCAUUAGUCCAGUUUUAGCAAGGCAUAAUCGAAUGAAGCAAGAAGAAUUAGCAAACUUUUUAUAUGACGAAAAAUAUGGGAAACAGGAUCAAGAGAAAGCAAUGUUCCAGUUUUCAUCCACUGAGACAAAGGAUGAUACUGCAAAGUAAAUACAAACAUUCUGCAAGUGCUUUAGGAUGACAGGGAAAGACAUGUGUAUUAUUAUUAUUGUAUUCACAAAAUGCUAAACCUGUUUGGGCCAUUUGGCACCAAGGACAUUUAAUGUACAUAUAGGAGGGGUGUUAAUGUUGCAGUUUAAAAACUGUAGUGUAAAGCACCCUUCUGGCAAGACAGUGAUGGAGUGAAUGAUGGUGAAAGUUUUUCUUUUUCGGGCCACCUUGCCUUGGUGGGAAUCGGCCAGUGUGAUAAUAAAUAAAUAAAAAUACAAAUAAUAUAUGUACACAUCGUUUUGAAGUAUAAAGAAGCAUUUUUGCUUAAUCCCAAAGGCUCACUAGGAAUACAACCACCUCAAACACAGCUGUAUUCACCUCUAAGCAUUACCAGUUAGAAAUGUCUUGCAAUUUUUAGCUGUGUGUGCCACCUUUUUCCAUUUUCUUUUUCUCCACUUCAUACAACCUAGACCUAAUCAGAGGUAGCCAGCAAAUUGGUUGAUCAGUUUAUGACUAGAGUAGAAGAGAUGACAUGGGUAGGUGGUGAGCUCCACUCAUCAUCAGGCUCAGUGCCAAAAGUAAGUUUUUGUCCUUCAUAACCAUUUUUUUUUUAACACAUCGGCCAUUUCCCACCAAGGCAGGGUGACCCGGAAAAGAAGAAACACUUUCAUGAUCAUUCACUCCAUCACUGUCUUGCUAGAGGUGUGCUUAUACUACAGUUGUAAAACUGCAACUUAUCAAUACCUCAACCCUUCAGAGUGCAGGCCCUUAAAACCAUGUACAAUCAAAAUUUCAGAUUUGCAAGGGUUUGGUUUCUAGAUGUAUGUGGAUUUAGACUUCACAAAUAAAAGUACUGUACCAUUAAAUUCUGUUUGUAUAUAUUUUGCUUCAUAUUUGGGUUCAUUUUAUGAGAAUAUUUAUCUUUAAAUAUCACUAAUCUAAUAAUACAGUGGACCCCCGCGUAACGAUCACCUCCCAAUGUGACCAAUUAUGUAAGUGUAUUUAUGCAAGUGCGUUUGUAUGUUUGGAGGUCUGAAAUAGACUAAUCUACUUCACAAUAUUCCUUAUGGGAACAAAUUCGGUCAGUACUGGCACCUGAACAUACUUCUGGAAUGAAAAAAUAUCGUUAACCGGGGGUCCACUGUAAUAGUGAAAUUCACAAGAAGAAUGUUUAAGAGAAAAGAUUUAGGCAUGGGAAAUCCACCAAGCACACACUAAAUGAAAUCAUAUGGUUAUCUUUAAAUUUAUGGGGCACUCACCAAGGCAAUAAAAAAGUAAAGGUCAUUGCCCAGUGACUUGAUCGCUGGCCUGGAGUUCAAUGACUCGCUUGCUGCGAGUUCAGCCUCACCUGUACCAUAGUUUGUUUGCAGUUGUAUUAUUAAAAUUUUGUGAUUCAUGAUGACAGCCUUUAAAAUGUUGGAUAAUCAAAGCACAAGAAUUAGAAAGCUCAUGGAGUUGUGAGUUCAAAACAACUUUUGUAUUUGGGCUCUGAUGACCCACUAGAAACUCUUACAAGAGUGCCCCAAAUAAUGGUACAGGGAUUGUAAAAUGAAAGCGGGGAAUCAAAAUUUCUUAGGAUGAAGAGGCACAAUACCAUGACUGGAACAGUACAUAAAUAACCCACACAUAAGAGAAAAACUUAUGACAGCAUUUCGGUCUGACUUGGAUCGAAACACUCAUUUACCAUGAGUUGGUUACUCUUAAAUUGAAUUCUUGAUAAGUGUUUCUGGCUCAUAUAUGACUGCGUCAGUCACUAGAAGUUGACUGAAGCCAAUCUCUUGCUAGGCAUAAGAACCCUGAUCAUUACAUGCAUACCCAUUUUCCUGAACAACCCAGCAGCUGGUAAGCAGCCUUGCAGUCAUCUAAAACUUUCCCUUUCCCCAUACUUCCCCAUGCAUACAGCAGAGAACCACCAAUGACAGGAUCUGACCUGUAGAGACUUUGCAAAUGCACAACCUGAUUGUAUAGUCAUGGUACUCUUGUUUAUGGUGAUAUAAUAUUCUAUGCCGUAACUCAUGAUGCUUUGCUUGGGCAGGAAUGAUUUUGAAAUUUAAGAGUCCUGAUCAUGCCAGGUUGAGUGCCCUGAGGAUAAGUAUGGACUCCAUUGAAGCCUGCCAUCUAUGUCCCUUUACAGAUCAAGAGAAUAUUGGAGAAGACUGAAAUCCAAAGUACCCAGUUGAAUGCCUAAACAAUCCAAGGAACCACAAUAUAAACAAAGAGAGACUAUAUUGACACUCAGGUUUAAGUCUCUAGGUACUCAUUGGGGUGGGUGUGAUCAGGGACAGGUGAACUUUGACUUGCUCAUUGUCUGAAUUUUCAGUACAAACUGGCAGAAGCUAGAAGGGCCAGGAGCUCAGGAUUUCCUUCUGAGCAACAGAGUCCCUGAGGAAGAUGAGAGCAACCCAAGCCAUCAGACUGCUUCACACAGCCUAUACAGGAAAUAUGAGGGGUUCCAACUUGAAUGCUCAUUAAGUAGUUUAGAUAUUAAUGUAGACUUAAACAGCUCAAAACCAAGGGAAAUGAAUAAAUUUCACUGCCUUCUUCCCCAACUUUGUCUUGAGGAUGCCAGAUAUGGGACAAGGGAUGCAGAAGUUCACGUCCCCUACUGAGCGACAGUUAAAUGGCACUUAAGACGUGUCAUGACACCCUUAGAUGAAAGUAAGAAUCUUUCAUUACAUGGUGCCCAUUUCUCAUCAGUGAAAAACAUAUCUGUAAAACAUCACCUAUAGGCACAGCACAUCAUAACAAUGACAGUUAUCCAUCCUAAGCCCCAGAAAAAAAAAAUAUAUAUUACCUACAAUUGUCAAGAUGAGCAAGCAUAGAUGCUGAGAACACAUGAGAAUAGCCUGGGUGGCAAAUUAAUGUAGCUAGCCAAGAGCUAUGCUGAACAAAGAGUAAGUAAGUAGAGGGGUUGACUGUAAUGCUGCUGGUCAGCCAGCUUGAUAGCUAGCUCUGGAUGGGUCCUUUUCAUAGAAUAGUGCAUAACGAGAAGGAAAGAGGCUGUAGAAGUCAUACCAAGUUUAAAAGGUGUAAUUUUGAACUGGCUGUCUUCCUAGUGCAGAGCCGUGUCCAAAUUAUGGAUAAUUUUCAGAAAAAUUCUUUCACAUAUCCAUAGGAAUUUUGAGCAGCAAAAUUAAUAAUAACUUUAUAUAGUACAGUGGUACCUCGAAUUUCAGCCAUAAUUCGUCCCAGAAGGCUGUUCGAGUGCUGUUACCGAACGAAUUUGUUCCCAUAAGGAAUAAUUUAAAUUAGAUUAGUCUGUUUCAGACCCCCAAAAAUACACUUACAAAAGUACUUGCAAAGAUACACUUACAUAAUUGUUCAAGUUGGGAGCUGUUCGAAAUUUGAGGUACCACUGUAUUGUGAUUACUGUAAUUAUUAUAUUAUACAGUACUGUAUAUCAUGAUUAAUAAAUACUUCAUUAUUAUUGUUUAAAAUUAUUAGAAAACAAAAUACUUUUGAGGAUUCAGGUAAAUAAAAUUAGAACAGCAGUGAAUGCCACAUGCCAAGAAAAUUUUCUUGAGUCAUCAGAGUUUAAAUGUAGAAUGUGUUUGGAUUACUGUUGUACAUAUGUGUGUGACAGAAUACAGUAUUUAAUAUGUAU